GGGUGCGAUCAUACCAGCACUAAUGCACCGGAUCCCAUCAGAACUCCGCAGAUAAGCGUGCUUGGGCGAGAGUAGUACUAGGAUGGGUGACCUCCUAGGAAGUCCUCGUGUUGCACCCC
rnacentral:rRNA from 1 species